UACGGAGGGGGCUAGCGUUAUUCGGAAUUACUGGGCGUAAAGCGCACGUAGGCGGCUUUGUAAGUCAGAGGUGAAAGCCUGGAGCUCAACUCCAGAACUGCCUUUGAGACUGCAUCGCUUGAAUCCAGGGAGAGGUGAGUGGAAUUCCGAGUGUAGAGGUGAAAUUCGUAGAUAUUCGGAAGAACACCAGUGGCGAAGGCGGCUCACUGGCCCGGUACUGACGCUGAGGUGCGAAAGCGUGGGGAGCAAACAGG
rnacentral:rRNA from 1 species